AAAAAUUUCUGUCUUCGUUGAUUCACAUUUCAUAAUACUUUUAUUGUAUUGAUAACUAAUAUAAAAAGAGUUAUUUUAGUAAAAUAUUAAAUAAAUAUUUUAUUACGAACAUAUUAAUCCAUUUAUAUAAACGACAUAAAAUAAAAUAUAUACCUAAAGAAAGAUGAUGGAAGAGGAAAAAGGCAUUGUAAUGGGAAUAGUGUUGAAACAUACAAAAUGAAAAAGGAGAUUGAGGAGUUGAUUAAUCAUGAUUGAGGAGUUGGCUAAUGUAUGAAAAGCUUAAAUUUGGGAGAAUCAUCUUUGUGGGAAGGGGGUGGAUGAAAUUGAAAGCCAAGAUUGUGGUAUGUGGUGGUGGAGUACAGUAGCCGAUGGAAGCUGCAUUGUCAAGCAAAGCAAUCCACAAAUAUUUUCUUCACCCAAAAGUCCCUCUUCCUCACUCACCAUUCAAACUUGCCAUUGCUCUUCCCCACCACUAACUAUUCUCUCAAACCCAAAUCUGAAACACAACAAAACUCAAUGGCAAACC
rnacentral:lncRNA from 1 species